AUUGAACGCUGGCGGCAUGCCUUACACAUGCAAGUCGAACGGUAACGGGCCUUCGGGUGCCGUCGAGUGGCGAACGGGUGAGUAAUACAACGGAACGUGCCCGAUCCCUGGGGGUAACGGGGCGAAAGCUUUGCUAAUACCUCAUACGAUCUACUGAUGAAAGCCGGGGGCCGCAAGGCCUUGCGCGGACCUUGCUGCCGAUGGUAGAUUAUGUAGUUGGUAAGAUAAAAGCUUACCAAGCCGACGAUCCGUAGCCGGUCUGAGAGGAUGAUCAGCCACACUGGGACUGAGACACGGCCCAGACUCCUACGGGAGGCAGCAGUGGGGAAUUUUGGACAAUGGGCGAAAGCCUGAUCCAGCCACGCCGCGUGCAGGAUGAAGGCCUUCGGGUUGUAAACUGCUUUUGUACGGAACGAAAAGACUUCUUUUAAUACAGGAGGGUCAUGACGGUACCGAAAGAGUAAGCACCGGCUAACUACGUG
rnacentral:rRNA from 1 species